rnacentral:rRNA from 1 species
ACGAACGCUGGCGGCGUGCUUAACACAUGCAAGUCGAACGGUGAAGCGCCUUCCUUUUUGGUGGGUGUGGAUGAGUGGCGAACGGGUGAGUAACACGUGAGUAACCUGCCCCCUUCUUCUGGAUAACCGCAUGAAAGUGUGGCUAUUACGGGAUAUUCUGGGUCUGUCGCAUGAUGGGUCUGGGAAAGAUAUUGUUUCGGUGGGGGAUGGGCUCGCGGCCUAUCAGCUUGUUGGUGGGGUGAUGGCCUACCAAGGCGGUGACGGGUAGCCGGCCUGAGAGGGUGGACGGUCACACUGGGACUGAGACACGGCCCAGACUCCUACGGGAGGCAGCAGUGGGGAUAUUGCACAAUGGGCGCAAGCCUGAUGCAGCGACGCCGCGUGAGGGAUGGAGGCCUUCGGGUUGUGAACCUCUUUCGCCAGUGAAGCAGGCCUGCCUCGUUUGUGGGUGGGUUGACGGUAGCUGGAUAAGAAGCGCCGGCUAACUACGUG